GACAGAGGAUGCGAACGUUGCUCGGAUUUACUGGGCGUAAAGCGCGUGUAGGCGGUCUCGUUAGUCGGGUGUGAAAGCCCCGGGCUCAACCCGGGAAGUGCACCCGAUACUGCGAGACUGGGGUACUGAAGAGGAGAGCGGAAUUCCCGGUGUAGAGGUGAAAUUCGUAGAUAUCGGGAGGAACACCAGUGGCGAAGGCGGCUCUCUGGGCAGAUACCGACGCUGAGACGCGAAAGCGUGGGGAGCAAACAGGAUUAGAUACCCUGGUAGUCCACGCUGUAAACGAUGACGACUGGGUGUUGCAGGUAUUGACCCCUGCGGUGCCGAAGCCAACGCGUUAAGUCGUCCGCCUGGGAAGUACGGCCGCAAGGCUAAA
rnacentral:rRNA from 1 species